rnacentral:rRNA from 1 species
AACGAACGCUGGCGGCAGGCCUAACACAUGCAAGUCGAGCGCACCCUUCGGGGCGAGCGGCGGACGGGUUAGUAACGCGUGGGAAUGUACCCAGAUCUACGGAAUAGCCUCGGGAAACUGAGAGUAAUACCGUAUACGCCCUUCGGGGGAAAGAUUUAUCGGAUUUGGAUCAGCCCGCGUUAGAUUAGAUAGUUGGUGGGGUAAUGGCCUACCAAGUCUACGAUCUAUAGCUGGUUUUAGAGGAUGAUCAGCAACACUGGGACUGAGACACGGCCCAGACUCCUACGGGAGGCAGCAGUGGGGAAUCUUAGACAAUGGGCGCAAGCCUGAUCUAGCCAUGCCGCGUGUGUGAUGAAGGCCUUAGGGUCGUAAAGCACUUUCGCCAGAGAUGAUAAUGACAGUAUCUGGUAAAGAAACCCCGGCUAACUCCGUGCCAGCAGCCGCGGUAAUACGGAGGGGGUUAGCGUUGUUCGGAAUUACUGGGCGUAAAGCGCGCGUAGGCGGACUGGAAAGUAUGGGGUGAAAUCCCGGGGCUCAACCUCGGAACUGCCUCAUAAACUAUCAGUCUAGAGUUCGAGAGAGGUGAGUGGAAUUCCGAGUGUAGAGGUGAAAUUCGUAGAUAUUCGGAGGAACACCAGUGGCGAAGGCGGCUCACUGGCUCGAUACUGACGCUGAGGUGCGAAAGUGUGGGGAGCAAACAGG